GUCUUGGUGUUUCUGGUCUGGAUCUGCAGGGUCACCGGGUACUGAGCACAGGGCCUGUGUGGUCUGUCCAUGAGUUCUUAGACCAGUGGUUCCCUACACUUUAUCCCUUUGCCUCUUCCUACUCCUUUAAGAAUCUUUCUCAAAUAUUAUUGUUUUUAUAACAUGAGGAAAAUAUUCUUUGAUUUUGCAGCUUAUUUGCUUUUAGUUCUGUUCUGGAUAAUAUGUUGCUUAGACCCAAAAAAAAGAAUGAUGUAGAGUAUUAUAGUGAGACCCAGGAGCUACUGAGGACAGGAAUAGUUAAUCCUCUGAGAAUAUAUGGAUAUGUGUGUGCCACAAAAAUUAUGAAACUGAGGAAAAUACUUGAAAAAGUUGGGGCUGCAUCAGGAUUUACCUCUGAAGAAAAAGAUCCUGAAGAAUUUCUAACUAUCCUGUUUCAUGACAUUUUAAGGGUUGAGCCAUUGUUAAAAAUAAGGU